AGAGUUUGAUCCUGGCUCAGAUUGAACGCUGGCGGCAUGCUUUACACAUGCAAGUCGAACGGCAGCACGGGCUUCGGCCUGGUGGCGAGUGGCGAACGGGUGAGUAAUGCGUCGGAACGCGCCGAGUAGUGGGGGAUAACGCAGCGAAAGCUGUGCUAAUACCGCAUACGUACUGAGGUAGAAAGUGGGGGACCUUCGGGCCUCACGCUAUUCGAGCGGCCGACGUCUGAUUAGCUAGUUGGUGGGGUAAAGGCUCACCAAGGCGACGAUCAGUAGCGGGUCUGAGAGGAUGAUCCGCCGCACUGGGACUGAGACACGGCCCAGACUCCUACGGGAGGCAGCAGUGGGGAAUUUUGGACAAUGGGCGCAAGCCUGAUCCAGCCAUGCCGCGUGUCUGAAGAAGGCCUUCGGGUUGUAAAGGACUUUUGUCCGGGAGCAAAGCCUACUUGUU
rnacentral:rRNA from 1 species